GGGUCCCUACGGGGCGCAGCAGUAGGGAAUCUUCGGCAAUGGGCGAAAGCCUGACCGAGCAACGCCGCGUGAAUGAAGAAGGCCUUCGGGUUGUAAAAUUCUGUUAUAAGGGAAGAAAGGUGAUAGGAGGAAAUGACUAUCAAUUGACGGUACCUUAUGAGAAAGCCACGGCUAACUACGUGCCAGCAGCCGCGGUAAUACGUAGGGGGCAAGCGUUAUCCGGAAUCACUGGGUGUAAAGGGAGCGUAGACGGCUGAGCAAGCCUGAAGUGAAAGGCGGGGGCCCAACCCCCGGACUGCUUUGGG
rnacentral:rRNA from 1 species